rnacentral:tRNA from 1 species
GGCGACGUAGCUCAGUUGGUCAGAGCGAGAGUUUCAUAACCUCUAGGUCGGCCGUUCAAUUCGGCCCGUCGCUACCA